rnacentral:lncRNA from 1 species
AAUCAUCCAUAGUUGAUGUAUACUGAUUAAUUUUCAUUUUCAGCUGAUUGCUCUGUGGCCAGUUGGGUGCAAGUGCUAUAAGGGAAUAAUCUGAACUCCCAAAUAAGGCAUAUAUUUUUCAGUAUAUGCCCACCAGGACUUGGUUGACUGCAUAUUUGAGUGUAUGAUUCAGAGUUCUAUCACAUCAAAUCACUCUCUUUAAUUAAAUCUUAGAAAAAACAGGAAAAAAGGAGAAAGCUCACGAGAAGAUAGCUGUCCCUGAAAUUAAAAAAGCAGGCAGGAGGAGAAAUUCCGUUGAUCGUUUUUAAAUUCCUGGUCUGAACAGCAAUUUUCAAAAUGCAUUUAAUUUUGU